GGAGCUUCCCUUGCAGUAGAUUUUUUCUCAUUUCCUACAGGCAAGGCCAAAACCUAAACCCUAACGACGUCUGAAUCUCCUCCAGCAUGGUGUGCAUAAGGAAGGCGACCAUGGACGACUUGUUGGCGAUGCAAGCAUGCAACUUGCUAUGCUUGCCCGAAAAUUACCAGAUGAAAUAUUACUUUUACCACAUCCUCUCUUGGCCGCAUCUCCUCUAUGUCGCUGAAGAUUACAACGGCCGAAUUGUCGGUUACGUUUUGGCCAAAAUGGAAGAAGAAUCGAACGAGUGUCAUGGUCAUAUCACUUCUCUCGCUGUCCUUCGUACUCACCGUAAGCUUGGCCUCGCUACCAAGCUCAUGAACGCCGCCCAAACCGCCAUGGAACAGGUAUUUGGAGCAGAGUAUGUGUCGCUGCAUGUGAGGAAGAGUAAUCGUGCAGCUUUCAAUCUGUAUACAGAAACAUUAGGCUACAAGAUUCAUGAUGUGGAAGCAAAGUAUUAUGCAGAUGGGGAGGAUGCAUAUGAUAUGAGGAAGCAGCUGAAGGGAAAGCAGAGUCAUCAUCACGGUCACCACCACCAUCACCACCACCAUGGUGGCGGGUGUUGUUCAGGUGGUGCCAGGCCCAUGGAAGCUCGACCAGAAUUGAAAUCAGAGGCAAAAGCUGGCACCAAGGCAGAAUCAAAAACGGGUUGACGAUGAAUGGUCACUGACUAGUUGGAGAAGACCUCUGUCUCUCUCACUAGUAUAAUUGUGCAAUCACCCACUGUGUACGACUAUGAUAUGAUGGUAACCUGAGCUUAAUGGUAUCGUAGAUGCCGAUUUCCAUAGAGGAUUGAUUGCUGCAGAAAGCUUGCAUUUGGAUAUGGCUUCUGUUAUUUGAGGAGCUGCAAUGAGGUAGCUGUGCUAGGUGGAAACUACACCUCAACUCAAGGCCGCCAAAUGCCAGAGAAAACAAAGUUAGAUGGUUUUUUUCUUUUUUAUUUUUCUAAGUUGAAUGAAAUUAAAUGUCAUUGUGUAGCAAGAAAUGGAUUCAACUAAAGACAAAGGCUGCUGUGGCUCGUGAGGGUAUGGAUGCUCUUCUAGAGUUUGAAACGCGUCUCAAUGUGGUAGCGUGAGUGAUAGGGUUGCUGUGACACUAAAGUAAUGUGGUUAUUAGUAGAAGUUAAUGUGCAGCUUCUGCUGUUCAAA